UGUUGGUGAAUAUUUGCUAGGUUGUAGUUAAAUUGUUGAGGGCUUGCAUCUUAGAAUUGUAUCGUCAUCAUAAAGUGACUUUUCCUGGAUUUUGAUUUCUUACCAGAUUGUGUGAAGGUGGGGAGCUUCUUGACAGAAUUUUGUCAAGGGGAGGAAAGUAUUCGGAGGAGGAUGCCAAGGUUAUAGUUUUACAGAUCCUAAGUGUGGUUGCUUUUUGUCAUCUUCAAGGUGUUGUGCACCGGGAUUUGAAACCUGAGAAUUUCCUUUUCACUUCAAGAAGUGAAGAUGCUGACAUGAGGCUUAUUGAUUUUGGUCUUUCCGACUUCAUCCGACCAGGUAAUAAUUGGAGUGAUUCUCAAUUUUCUU